UUCACGGAGAGUUUGAUCCUGGCUCAGGACGAACGCUGGCGGCGCGCUUAACACAUGCAAGUCGAGCGAGAACCAGGGCUUCGGCCCUGGGGACAGCGGCGAACGGGUGAGUAACACGUGGGUAAUCCACCCUUGGCACCGGAAUAGCCCGGGGAAACCCGGAUUAAUGCCGGAUGGCCCGUCGACCCUUCGGGGCUGACGGAAAAGGUAGCUUCGGCCUCCGGCCGGGGACGAGCCCGCGGCGGAUUAGCUUGUUGGUGGGGUAACGGCCUACCAAGGCUCCGAUCCGUAGCUGGUCUGAGAGGACGAUCAGCCACACUGGGACUGAGACACGGCCCAG
rnacentral:rRNA from 1 species